rnacentral:rRNA from 1 species
GCAUAUCAAUAAGCGGAGGAAAAGAAACUAACAAGGAUUCCCCUAGUAACGGCGAGCGAAGCGGGAAGAGCUCAAAUUUGAAAGCUGGCACCUCCGGUGUCCGCGUUGUAAUCUCGAGACGUGUUUUCCGUGCGGCUCUAUGGACAAGUCCCUUGGAAUAGGGCAUCGUAGAGGGUGAGAAUCCCGUACUUGCCAUGGAAGAACCGUGCUUUGCGAUACACGCUCUAAGAGUCGAGUUGUUUGGGAUUGCGGCUCAAAAUGGGUGGUAGACUCCAUCUAAAGCUAAAUAUCGGGGAGAGACCGAUAGCGAACAAGUACCGUGAGGGAAAGAUGAAAAGCACUUUGGAAAGAGAGUUAAAAGUACGUGAAAUUGUCGAAAGGGAAGCACUUGAAGUCAGCCAUGCUGCUUGAGACUCAGCCUGGCCUUUGGGCUUGGUGUAUUUCUCGGUGGCAAGCCAGCAUUGGUUUGGGUCGUCGGAGAAGCGCAUAGGGAAUGUAGCGUUUCCGGACGUGUUAUAGCCUUAUGCAGGAUACGACGACCUGGAUCAAGGAACGCAGUGUGCCCUCUGGGCGGGUCUUCGGACACCUUCACACUUAGGAUGCUGGCGUAAUGGCUUUAAGUGGCCCGUCUUGAAACACGGACCAA